UACGGGGGGGGCAAGCGUUGUUCGGAAUUACUGGGCGUAAAGGGCUCGUAGGUGGCCAACUAAGUCAGACGUGAAAUCCCUCGGCUUAACCGGGGAACUGCGUCUGAUACUGGAUGGCUUGAGUUCGGGAGAGGGAUGCGGAAUUCCAGGUGUAGCGGUGAAAUGCGUAGAUAUCUGGAGGAAUACCGGUGGCGAAGGCGGCAUCCUGGACCGGCAUUGACGCUGAGGAGCGAAAGCCAGGGGAGCAAACGGG
rnacentral:rRNA from 1 species